AUUGAACGCUGGCGGCAGGCCUAACACAUGCAAGUCGAGCGGCAGCGGGAAAGUAGCUUGCUACUUUUGCCGGCGAGCGGCGGACGGGUGAGUAAUGCCUGGGGAUCUGCCCAGUCGAGGGGGAUAACUACUGGAAACGGUAGCUAAUACCGCAUACGCCCUACGGGGGAAAGCAGGGGACCUUCCGGCCUUGCGCGAUUGGAUGAACCCAGGUGGGAUUAGCUAGUUGGUGAGGUAAUGGCUCACCAAGGCGACGAUCCCUAGCUGGUCUGAGAGGAUGAUCAGCAACACUGGAACUGAGACACGGUCCAGACUCCUACGGGAGGCAGCAGUGGGGAAUAUUGCACAAUGGGGGAAACCCUGAUGCAGCCGUGCCGCGUGUGUGAAGAAGGCCUUCGGGUUGUAAAGCACUUUCAGCGAGGAGGAAAGGUUGGUAGCUAAUAACUGCCAGCUGUGACGUUACUCGCAGAAGAAGCACCGGCUAACUCCGUGCCAGCAGCCGCCGUAAAAC
rnacentral:rRNA from 1 species